UAGACAUCAUUCCGCAUCCAAUGAGCUA
rnacentral:piRNA from 1 species